rnacentral:rRNA from 1 species
GAUGAACGCUGGCGGCGUGCCUAAUACAUGCAAGUCGAGCGAACGGACGAGAAGCUUGCUUCUCUGAUGUUAGCGGCGGACGGGUGAGUAACACGUGGAUAACCUACCUAUAAGACUGGGAUAACUUCGGGAAACCGGAGCUAAUACCGGAUAAUAUUUUGAGCCGCAUGGUUCAAAAGUGAAAGACGGUCUUGCUGUCACUUAUAGAUGGAUCCGCGCUGCAUUAGCUAGUUGGUAAGGUAACGGCUUACCAAGGCAACGAUGCAUAGCCGACCUGAGAGGGUGAUCGGCCACACUGGAACUGAGACACGGUCCAGACUCCUACGGGAGGCAGCAGUAGGGAAUCUUCCGCAAUGGGCGAAAGCCUGACGGAGCAACGCCGCGUGAGUGAUGAAGGUCUUUGGAUCGUAAAACUCUGUUAUUAGGGAAGAACAUAUGUGUAAGUAACUGUGCACAUCUUGACGGUACCUAAUCAGAAAGCCACGGCUAACUACGUG